rnacentral:rRNA from 1 species
AUACGUAGGGUGCGAGCGUUGUCCGGAAUUACUGGGCGUAAAGAGCUCGUAGGUGGUUUGUCGCGUCGUCUGUGAAAUUCCGGGGCUUAACUCCGGGCGUGCAGGCGAUACGGGCAUAACUUGAGUACUGUAGGGGAGACUGGAAUUCCUGGUGUAGCGGUGAAAUGCGCAGAUAUCAGGAGGAACACCGGUGGCGAAGGGGGGUCUCUGGGCAGUAACUGACGCUGAGGAGCGAAAGCAUGGGUAGCGAACAGGAUUAGAUACCCUGGUAGUCCAUGCCGUAAACGGUGGGCGCUAGGUGUAGGGGUCUUCCACGACUUCUGUGCCGUAGCUAACGCAUUAAGCGCCCCGCCUGGGGAGUACGGCCGCAAGGCUAAAACUCAAAUGAAUCGACGGGG